GACGAACGCUGGCGGCGUGCUUAAUACAUGCAAGUCAACGACUUUUAGAGUAGCAAUAUUUUAAAAGGAGUGGCGCACGGGUGAGUAACACGUAGGUAAUCUGCCUUCAGGACUGACACAACUCGUCGAAAGACGGGCUAAUAUCAGAUAAUGCAGCGGCUCCGCAUGGAGACAGUUGUUAAAGUACAAGCGCCUGAAGAUGAGCCUGCGGUCCAUUAGCUAGUUGGUAGAGUAACAGCCUACCAAGGCAACGAUGGAUAGCUGGUCUGAGAGGAUGAUCAGCCACACUGGAACUGAGACACGGUCCAGACUCCUACGGGAGGCAGCAGUAAGGAAUAUUGCUCAAUGGCCGAAAGGCUGAAGCAGCAACGCCGCGUGAAGGAUGAAUGGCCUUUGGCCUGUAAACUUCUGUAAAAAGGGAAAACG
rnacentral:rRNA from 1 species